AAAAGGCAGAGGAACAAAUCUGAGAUUAAAAAAACUGGAGAGAAAAAGGAGGAGACAAAAUCCUGUGGCUCACAUAACACUGUGGUCUAAAAACCUCAGUCUAUUUAUUAAUGAAAAAGCAGAAAAGAUCUAAAACAGAGAAACAUGAAAUCAUGAAAACCAUAGAAGCAAAUUAAACAGCUACUGAUGAAUCCAGUGAAAUGAGGCCUGACAGGUUUGAAAGGCAUUUUCCAGGAACCGUUUGGACUUCCUGGACUGAAGGGAAACAGAAACAUCCCCGUUUCCACUGAACGGAACCGCCAUCGUUGACAUCGACACCAAGAUGACUCCAGCGACGAUCCCCAAACCCUGAGCCCGACCUGAACACACAGCGCGUUCACAUCCAGGACGACCGGGUCACUUUAAAACAAUCACCUGUUGUUUCCGGGUUGACCAGCCUCUCGGUCUUGUGGUUCUUCCGGGUUGUGACGGUGCAGAC